CACAUCUUUCAUCUGGACGGUGGCUCAGAAGGCUACUCCAGACACCCACCGUUAGGUCCCACAUCCUUCUUCCAAGCCGUGUGCGGCCUGGCCUAGCACGACCCAUCCCAUCUCCUCCACUGCUCCUCAGGGUCCACAUUAUCCCGUCCGGUUCUCUGGCGUGACAGGUGGAGAAACCGAGGCCCGGAGUUGGAAGGAACUUCCCCCACGGUCCUGGACACUUUGGAUCUGCGUUAUUCGCCCAAUCCCCUCUGCAACCCUGACAGGAUCUAUGUAGUCCAGGCUGGCCCCAAACUCGAGGGGCCUCAGCCUCCCGAGUGCUGGGAUGACAGGUGUGCGCCACCACGGCAGCUGAACAACUCCGGACAGAAUUCCAAGGGGCACAAAGCAGCCACUUCUAGCCCGGAACCCCUGGUGUACGCACAGGGCUUUGCACGUCCGGAUAGACAAACUCCAGGAGUGACUCCAGGAGCGAUGUCAUGCACUCCUCUGCCGUCUGGUGGUGCUCUCGGGAGCCGCCGGAAGCACAGGGCCUGCCAGUAUCGUGCAGGACAUGCAACACCCCUGGGACCAUCUGGAACGCCCCACAUUUCCAACCCCUCGAGGUGGCGUCCCGCCCGCGGGGGAGUUGCCCAAAGCCCACCUUUCUGCUGACCACCCAGGCGACCCUGCCCUUCCUCAGUCCCAGCAGACACCAGCCACCGCCUGGAGUGUCCCCGGACCACUGCAACAGCCGUUCUUCCAACGGGUCACCAGGGGGCGUCCUGAGACCAGGUUCUGCACAGCCGCGGGCUUGAAAUUAACUGCGAAUGAGGAGAGGACCCCGCAGUGGGCAGAACCAUGCUCUGGGGAAGCCAUCAGCCAGUGUUUGUCCAGCUUCUUCCCCACCCAGUGUUGCUUAAUGCAGGGGUCAGAGCGUCAUCAGGCCAGGUGACCUUUGGUACAGGCCAGUCACUCCAUGUGGCCUCGUGGUGCCAGUGAGGGUUGUAAACAACAGGUGUGGGAGGCCGCUGUGGGCUAACAGCACACUGCUUUACAGCGAGCUUUCUGAAAACAACAGCAUACUCAGCCAGGUAUGAGGAUCCUGGAAGGCUGAGGCAGGAGGAUCACAAGUUCAACCCCAACUUAAUUUAGCAAAACCCUGUCCUGAAAUAAAAUUAGAUAACAGUUUGAGGAAUUUAUUCUGUACCUCCAUCCUGGGUACUUUCCAUGAAAGUUUUUUUUUUCUUGUUUUGUUUUGUUUUGUUUUGUUUUGUUGAGAUAAGGUCUUGCUAUGUAGCCCAGACUGGCCUCAGACUUAGAGAGAUCCUCCUGCCUCAGCCUCCCACGUGCUGGGAUUGCAGGUAUGCACCACCACACCCAGCCACGAACUCACUACUUUCAUCUUCACCAGUAACAGUAUGAGGCAGGCACCAUUAGGUGAUGAGCCAUUUGGCCGGGAAACUGAGGCACAGAAAGCUCUGUAACCUGCCUGGAGGUGCAGGGCUGACAAGCAGCAGAGAACUGCUGAACGGUGUCCUGGAAGGGAGUCCUGCUGGCAGGCAGGAUUUAGCCACCCUGUACUGCAAGAAAACAAGCAGCAAAAAUGCCAGCCCUCCAGAGACCCCUAAGGGAUGAUGCUGAAAACAUCCACAAGAAAGGAGCAGAGCCUGCCAGACGCAUUUCUCUGCAGGACCUGAGCCCGGGUGCGUUCUUGGGGUCAAAGAGCAUGCAGCGGUUGGGGGGACAGAGCUGAUAUGUGAGCCCUGUGUCCCCGGGUCCAGCUGCAAAUGACCACGGGAGACCUCCACAGG
rnacentral:lncRNA from 1 species